UACGGAGGAUCCAAGCGUUAUCCGGAUUUAUUGGGUUUAAAGGGUGCGUAGGCGGCUUAUUAAGUCGGGGGUGAAAGACGGUGGCUCAACCAUCGCAGUGCCCUUGAUACUGAUGAGCUUGAAUACACUUGAGGUAGGCGGAAUGUGACAAGUAGCGGUGAAAUGCAUAGAUAUGUCACAGAACACCAAUUGCGAAGGCAGCUUACUAAGGUGCAAUUGACGCUGAGGCACGAAAGCGUGGGGAUCAAACAGG
rnacentral:rRNA from 1 species